UACGUAGGGGGCGAGCGUUGUCCGGAUUUAUUGGGCGUAAAGAGCGUGUAGGCGGCCAGGUAGGUCUGCUGUGAAAACUCGAGGCUCAACCUCGAGACGUCGGCGGAAACCAUCUGGCUAGAGUCCGGAAGAGGAGAGUGGAAUUCCUGGUGUAGCGGUGAAAUGCGCAGAUAUCAGGAAGAACACCCGUGGCGAAGGCAGCUCACUGGGACGGUACUGACGCUGAGACGCAAAAGCGUGGGGAGCGAACAGG
rnacentral:rRNA from 1 species